rnacentral:lncRNA from 1 species
AGGAUGGAAAUAGAUAACAUUCUUUAGAAAACCACUGCCACAAUUAGUGCUUUCAAAUCGGCAUAAUGGUGGAUGGUUUGGUUUACACAUUUCUUACCUGAAUAAAGUAUUGGAACCUUCUGCAUGGGAAAUUCCUGAAUACUUUUCCAGAGCUUUAUUUUAUAAACUGGAAAGGCAAUGAAAAUAUAGGGGUAGGUGAAGGGAAGAGCACUAUAUGAUUUAAACUAUUUGAAAGCUUUCCCUGGAUAAUGGAUUUGAAAUAGAACAGGAUACUGUAGCAUAACUGAUGAGAACAUGAUUUACUGUGGCCACCUGAAGCCCAGGGACUGCUUAUUGUCACUGAAGAGAAUAGGUGAACUUAAUGAAAUAGGAAACCAUGAUGUGUGAGGGACGUUCACACAGUAAUCAAAAGCCGGCUAUACUUAGACAGUGAAUUUUUGAUGCAAGUUCCUGUGCCAGGAAUUGAAUCUUAGCUGCAGCUGUGACCUGUGCAGCUGCAGCAAUGCAAGAUUCUCUAACCCACUGUACUGGGCUGGGGAUCAAACCCACACCUCUGCAGCAACCUGAGCUCCUGCAGUCUGAUUCUUAACCCACUGAUUGGGUUGCUUAACUAGCUAACCCUAGUCUUUGUAACUGGAGUCAACUUUCCAUAAUGAUUGAAACUCCUUUUAUACUUUGGAUCUUUUUCUGCAAAGUUUUAAGAGGUGGAUCGACCUAAGUUGAAUUGAACUUUUCAAGCGGCUAUGUUUUUAUGAUUACUUUUUAAUUGUAGUAAGCAACUAUAUACUGCCAGUAAAAAAUGGAAAUGGUGCGUAUAAACCUCAUUCAUUGAUUUGUUCCCUAACCCCAGGCCCUUUCUUUUCUCUUCUCAGAUAAGAACUAUCAGCGGUUUUGUGAAUACUGUUAUUUUGCUUUUACUCUGUUACAUGAGUAUCCUCAUAUCCCUCUGGGAAAUACUUAAUUUCCUUGUUCUUUUAUUUUUCAAUAUAGAGGGUGUAAUAUGUAUGGUUUUAUGUGUGUGCAUAUGUGUGUGUGUGUAUAUAUUAUUGCUUUUGCAUAACUAUUUGCCCUGUUUGUGCCUUGCAUAUGUUGUCCACAUUUCGUUCAUAUAUAUUUGCUUCAUGUUUUAAACUGCCGUCUAGUAUUUUCUUACUGUGGCUAUUCCACAGUUACUGAAGCUGUUCUGCAGUUGUUUAUUUGUUUCUCCAUUAUUAGAUGUUUAGAUUGUUUGUAUUUUCUUGACAUUAAGAUAGAUACUUGACUGGGGAGUUCCCUGUUAGGGCGCAGCAGAAACGAAUCUGACUAGGAACCAUGAGGUUUCGGGUUUGAUCCCUGGCCUCACUCAGUGGGUUGGGUUAAGCAUCUGGCAUUGCUCUGAGCUCUGGUGUAGGUUCCAGAUGCAGCUUGUAUCCUGCAUUGCUGUGGCUGAGGUGUAGGCCAGCAGCUACAGCUCAGAUUCAACCCCUAGCCUGGGAACUUCCAGAUGCC